rnacentral:rRNA from 1 species
UGGGGAAUUUUGGACAAUGGGGGCAACCCUGAUCCAGCAAUGCCGCGUGCAGGAAGAAGGCCUUCGGGUUGUAAACUGCUUUUGUACGGAACGAAAAGGCUCUGGUUAAUACCUGGGGCACAUGACGGUACCGUAAGAAUAAGCACCGGCUAACUACGUGCCAGCCGCCGCGGUAAUACGUAGGGUGCAAGCGUUAAUCGGAAUUACUGGGCGUAAAGCGUGCGCAGGCGGUGCUGUAAGACAGGCGUGAAAUCCCCGGGCUUAACCUGGGAAUGGCGCUUGUGACUGCAGUGCUGGAGGGUGGCAGAGGCGGAUGGAAUUCCGCGUGUAGCAGUGAAAUGCGUAGAUAUGCGGAGGAACACCGAUGGCGAAGGCAAUCCCCUGGGCCUGCACUGACGCUCAUGCACGAAAGCGUGGGG